rnacentral:rRNA from 1 species
UACGUAGGGUGCGAGCGUUGUCCGGAAUUACUGGGCUUAAAGGGUGCGUAGGCUGCGCGGAAAGUUGGGUGUGAAAUCCCUCGGCUCAACCGAGGAACUGCGCUCAAAACUACCGUGCUCGAGGGAGACAGAGGUGAGCGGAACUUAGGGUGGAGCGGUGAAAUGCGUUGAUAUCCUAAGGAACACCCGUGGCGAAGGCGGAUCUCG